rnacentral:tRNA from 1 species
GUUAAGGUGGCAGAUCUGGAUAUUGCAAAAGCCCUAAAACCUUUAUAAAGGGGUUCAAGUCCCCUCCUUAACU